rnacentral:rRNA from 1 species
UACAGAGGUCCCGAGCGUUUGUUCGGAAUUACUGGGCGUAAAGCGCGCGUAGGCGGACCUGCAAGUCGGGGGGUGAAAGCCCGAGGCUCAACCUCGGAACUGCCUUCGAUACUGCGGGUCUCGAGUCCGGGAGAGGUGAGUGGAAUUCCUAGUGUAGAGGUGAAAUUCGUAGAUAUUAGGAAGAACACCAGUGGCGAAGGCGGCUCACUGGCCCGGGUACUGACG